rnacentral:rRNA from 1 species
UACGGGGGGAGCAAGCGUUGUUCGGAAUCACUGGGCGUAAAGGGCGUGUAGGCGGCUAGGUAAGUGGGACGUGAAAUGCCUCGGCUCACCCGAGGACCGGCGUCCCAAACUGCCUGGCUUGAGUAUGGGAGAGGAUGUGGGAAUUCCUGGUGUAGCGGUGAAAUGCGUAGAUAUCAGGAGGAACACCGGUGGCGAAGGCGCACAUCUGGCCCAAUACUGACGCUGAGGCGCGAAAGCUAGGGGAGCAAACGGG